rnacentral:rRNA from 1 species
UCUUUAUAGUAAAUUUAUUUUAAUAGAUUAUUUUAUAUAAAUCAAGUUUUAAUAUUUAAUUAUUUUAUUGGGGUGAUACAAAAAUUUAAUCAACUUUUUUGAUUUAGUUACUUAAAUUAAAGAUUUAAAAAUUAUGAUCUAUUAUUAAUAAUUCAAAGAAUAAGA